AUAACUAUCAUAAACUGGUCUUCCAUAAUACCCAUCGUAACAACUUAUUGGUGCUGGUGGUGGCCCACCGUAACCUUCAAAGCAUGGCCCACCUCCCCUACCUUCAUAGCAUGGCGUACAACACACUCCAAUUGGAACUGCCAUAGGUGGUGGACACACCGGAAUAUAAGGUGCCGGUUCCGGCAUAGGCUGCGGUGGCGGAGCGGGUUUUUCUUUUGGCUUCUCAGGUUGUUUUGGUGGUUCAGGCUUCGGCUCAGGUGGUGGAGGUGCAGGCUUUUCUUUGGGUUUCUCAGGCUCUUUGGGCUUUUCAGGCUCCUUGGGCUUUUCAGGUUCUUUGGGCUUCUCAGGCUCCUUUGGUUUUUCAGGGUUUUUUGGCUUCUCUGGUUCUUUGGGCUUUUCAGGCUCUUUGGGCUUGACGGGUUCCUUGGGCUUUUCUGGUUCUUUAGGCUUGGGAGGUGGAGGAGGUUCGACAAUUUCUAUGCUUUUGAUGGCACCACAACCUUUGCAACAAAUCUUGUCUCUUAUCUUCUCGGGGCUACAACAAACCACUGUGAUUG
rnacentral:lncRNA from 1 species